AUCUGGGGUAUGUAGGAAGAUGAAGCCCGUGGCAUCUGUAGAUCAAAAAGUGGUGGCAUAUAUAUAGCAUGUGACGAUGACAUCUACGGAAUACAUGGUGAUGGCAUAUCUGAAACAUGUGAUGAUGGUGUAUAUCUCAUGUCUGGGGUAUAGGAUGCUCCAAUCAUCGUCAAUAUCCCUAAACAUGAUCUCUCCAUCUCCCACAGUAUUCAGAUCCGCUCGUCCUCAUUAGUCAC
rnacentral:lncRNA from 1 species